rnacentral:lncRNA from 1 species
GACAACCCCUCCUGCUCCUCCCCUGCUUUCUCCCCUUGCAUGUGUCUGAUUCUGCUCUGUGUUGCAGCCUCAGGGAGAUGGUGGAGGGCGGAGCUAGGAGGGGCUGAGUUACCUGCCCAACAGGGCAGGGCCAGAGAGCAUAAAAGGCCUGGCUGAAAUGCUGUAGCUCUCUCUCAGCAGGGCCUGCAUCUACACACCAGCCACCACCUUUUGGGUUUGAUCAUCGAACAACAUCCACCACACACAUGCUCACACAUCCAACAUUUGCUGACACUACUGAUCUUAAUCCUGAUGCCUCAUACAGAUUGAUUAUCAUUUUUUGUUAAAUAAAAGAUCUUGGUUAAUGGUUAUUGUUGUGUGUGGCCUCCCUCCUUGUUAUCUGCCUUGAGCCAGGCAGUAACAAAUGGGGGCUCGUCCGGGAUCCUGGUUUUAUUUCUCAGGAGAAGUUAGGGCUGAGAAACCAGGUUCAGUUUGUAAGGGAGGUGUUUCACACAGUUACUGGCCUAGUCUGUUUGUAGUUUGAUGGCCUGUUGAGGUGUUUGUUUCUAAUCUGCUGGUGGGUGAAGGCUGUGUCGUCAUUUGGGAACCCAUAUUCCUGUCAGGUUUUAGCAAUGAGGGACACCAGAUGUCCACAUUGACCCUUUUUUGUUUUAGUUUGUUAUUUUUGUGCAGCAAAGUGGUUAGAGCUUAUGCUCGGGGGCACUCCAUGACUGUCUAGGUGGCUGUUAGCUCGCUAAGAGUCAACCGGGUUACUGGGCUUGGUGCUUAAUCUAUCCCGCCGCUAACCUGCAUGAAGACUAGGGGUGAGUGAGACAGUUAGUACUGGUUAGGCAGUUAGCUAGAGGAAGGUGGUCCCAUGUUUAAACAGCCUUACAUCUCAUUAGCAGUGUGAGAAACUUUGUUUUGUGCCUUGUCCUCUCUGGUGUGUUAGGCUGUAUGAGAGCACAGGUUAAUAUAAUUACUGCCUCUAAAUAAUAGAUGACAAAUAAGAUGGCUUCAAUUGAGAAUUUUGUUCUGUCUCCUAGUGAAGAGUUGCUUAACACGUAUAAAAAGGAGCAGCUUUUGCAGAUAGCUGAGCAUUAUGGUGUUGAGAUUGCAAAAGGAUUAAAUAAAAAGGACUUGCUUGUCUCAUUAAGGGCGCACCUUGUGGAAGAAAAUAUUUUGGCUGUGCGGGUAGAGAGUGAGGAGGACCCUGUGAAAAUGGACAGUGUUUCUAAUGCAGCUGUUCCUGGUCCUAGUUUAUUAGGGAAAGUGCCUAGUAUCCCACCUGCUUUGGCUGGGUUUGGGGCUGGGUUGUCUUUUGAGCAGCAAAAAGAACUCCUAUUGCUUCAGUUGCAGCAUGAACAGAGGCAGGUAUUGGAGUUGGAGAAAUUGAGACAGGAUGUCCGACUCAGAGAAGCUGAAAUGGCCCAUUCUCAGGCCACACAGCAGGUCGAGUUGGAGCGAUAUAAGUUGGAGCUUAUGAGUCAAGGAAAACUUCAGACUCCUGAGGCCCAAGAAUCAGCCAUGUUUGUUCCUCCUACUCCACAAUUUGAUGUUGCUGUGAACUUAAGAUUGGUUCCAAAAUUUAAUGAGAAGGACCCCGAUAUUUUCUUUGUAUUGUUCGAACGUUUGGCAGAGGC